AUGGGCACAAUCAUCUUCAGCAACUUUACAUAUCAAACUUAACAACCGUAAUUCAUACUUUAUCUAAAGCUUUACUUUUUCAUUAAAGAGAAAACCACCUACUCCACAACCAAGAUUACUGCAAGGUUGAAUAAUUAUACCCAUGUACUUUGCAAUUAAUACAAAUUUGUCCUGAUUCUAUUGUGACAACUCAUUAUAAACAUUAAUAACAGACAUUUAACUGCCAAAUGCUUCCAUAAGACUUAGAUAACCUGAAAUAAACUAGCAGCAGCAGGUUGUUCAAGUCUAUGAUUGAAAAUUUGAUUGCCAUAUGCUUAGAUAAAACCGAGAUGAAGACAUCGUCUCGGUCCUGAUUAAGAACAUGAUUAAGGUUAGACACCCUAAAUAUAGCAUGCAUUACUUAGGUAUUUCGAGAUUAGACCUAAUGAAGGCCUAUUCUGGAAAAAAAUCCAUGUAGUAAGAGUUAUAAAAGGAGAUAUUUAUGAGAUAAAGAUGAUUUACUUAUUUAUUGUUACUGUUACGGUAUAUAAUAUUCAUGGUUAUCAAACUCGCGAGUUAACUCGUUAACUCGGACGAGUUUGCGUGCCUGGUCAUGCCCAGCGAGUUAACUCGCAAGCAAACUCGGUUUUGAAGCAGAAUCGGUGGACUCGUGAAUGAACUCGCCGGAAUCGUUCAAACUCGCGAGUUUUCAGCGAGUUCGCGAGUUCAAAAGGGGAAAAAAUUGGAAAUCGAAACGGGGUCGAGUGGUUGUCGCGAGUCGUUCUGUGGCCAUCGCAACCCCUUUCAUGGCCGUCGCGACCUGUUCCGUGGCCAUCGCGACCUGUCCUGUGGCCAUCGCGAGCACUUCUGUAGCCAUCAACAUCCGUCGAGCAGUUCUGCAGCCUUCGUCCUUGCUCGCGAGUAGUUUUGCGGCCUUCGCACUCCCCAUCGACCACUCUCCUACCGUCAUCCUUGCUCGCUUUGCCGUCGCGGUGGCCGUCGACAACCAUUCCACUUGCGUGUUCUCAAUAGAGCGAGGUUCACGAGUGUGGUUCCUAGGUUUGGGUGUUCUAUUGGCGGAUCUUAUUCACUUAUUCCCAGCUGCAGUGCACUGUUUAAGUGUUUGAAUUUAUUUCAGCUUUGGGUCGAACACAGUCACACUUGCACUGCACCGUUUGUACGAAAAUGAUGAUAUCAUUAGAGGAUUAGACAGAUAUUUGAAUCUAUGAUUUACGGUAUUUGUAUGAAUUUAUUUAUUUUAAAUACUUUUAAACUAUAUAAUUUUAUGGACCGAUUUGAAUUAAGAUAUUAUUUAUAUAAAAUUUGUUUUCAUGUAAAAGAAAUUCUUAUGAGUUUACGAUUCGAGUUUACUAGACUCUCAUGAGUUUACGUAAACUCUCAAAUUUGACAACCUUGAUAAUAUUGUUAACUUGAGUGUUGGAGUGUCUUUAAAAAACUUCGUCUCGGUGUCAUAACAAUUACAUGGCAGACUAAAAGAUGAAGGGGAUUUUAUAAAGACAUUUGGGUCCUUUGUAAAAACACCAAUAGUAUACAGAAUUAGUGCUUCAUAUGAGCAUUGGAUUGUUCAUCAACCUGCUAUUGAUAAAACAGCUGCUUAGGUCCACCAUAUAGAUAAAUAAACCCCUCUGUCCACUUGUCUGCAUUCAAUUCAACGCUCUAUGCACUCUCUACUACAAUAUUAUUCUUCAGUAUUAAUAAUUUAUUUUCUCUUAAGUUGACACCGGAUUCCCAUUGUAAUUCGUAUAAGAUAUUUUUACGUAAUAGAAUAUUCCUUCUUUGUCAACAUUCGUACAAGAAGAAAUAGUGAAUAAUUCCAAGACAUGGGUGAAGUAGAUAGAGCCUUGGCAUUUAUGUAUUUAUAUAGAAUAUAGAGAAUAUUGUUUCAUCUAUUCUCCUGUUCUAUGAAAUAUAUAACUGAUUGUAAGAAUAACCAACAACUCUACCCUCUUUUCUCAUCAUCUCCUUACCCUUCCUCUUUUCUCCUCAGAAGAAGAUCAUGAUGAGGCUAUUAAGGUUCAGAAAUCCACCACUUUUACUGAAGAACAUGCUUCUGGAGCCAUGGCCAAAUGAUGCCACAAGAAAGGAACAAGAAACCUGAUCAGGACAUUUGACCUCAGGAAAUCUGCCCUCUAGGCAAGUCUGAUGCUUGGCUUUUCAUCUCUCUGUCUCUGCUGUUGGGUUUGCUGAGAAUCAAAUAAGGCAUGAAUCAUGUCAUAAGUUUUCUGUUUAAUCAGUAUCCAUCUGGGACAAUAUGUUAUGUAUAUCCUUCUCUGCUCAACAGCAGUUGCAUUUAUACUACUACUUGUAUGAAACUUUUAUCAUACCUCAAGUUUUUUUUUCUUUCUUCUGUUUGUUUAGUUUGGAUUCUUACUUUCUUGUAUUGAUUAUGUACAACCAGCAAGGCCUGGUAAGAAAAAGAACUGUUUUCCCUAAAUUAAUUAAUCAAAGAUAUUAUUUGCUGGAUUUA